CCGGCCGCCCGCGCGCCGCUGCCCUCGGAUCGCGCGUCGAACACCGCUCACACUCACAUUAAGCCCAAACUUGUGCCCCAAAAUGUUUAUGCUGUUUAUCCUCAUCACUGUGUACCUUAUCACUCUUUGCCAUGGUUGAAAAGUGCGUGAAAUCUGCGAUGAUGGAUUAGAGUUAUCAGAGAUAAGAGACGGUAUUGUUGCUUCGUUGAUACGACAGUUGAUAUGGAUGCUUUUAUUCAUCACGUUCCUGGUCAGCUUCCCUUGUGACCGAAAGCCCGCA